CACACACACACACACAAUUCUCUUAAGUUGAGUUCGUGAGUAGAAAUUAGAGGUGGAGAACAUGAAGAUCCUGGUUAUAUUUUUCCACAGCUUUCUUGAACUUUCUUUUUCAUUUCCCUUAUUUUAGAGCGAAAUUAAAUAACUAAAAAUCUCUAACAUUUAACACUCUAGAAAAAAAAAGCUCAAGAAAGCUGUGGGAAAACAUGACAAUUCAGGGUUUUCUUCAUUGAUUCAAGUGUCAGGUUCUUUUAAAGGCACUAAUUUUAUCAUAAUUUGAAGGUUUCCCUUUAAACCAUCAUGAUAUUAUACUCUUUGAAAUGUCUGUAUAUGAAAAUGAAGAACGAAUCUUCUCUGAAUUUUGUUUUUGGAGUUGAUCUGAAUUGCUUUUAUCAACAAAGAAGAAGAAGAAGAAGAAGAAGAAAAAGAAGAAGAAGAAAGCUUCCUGGGUUUCCUGUUUUGUAUAGAUGAGCUUUGUACAUUUCUGUUGAUAAAAGUUUUAUCUGACGUCAUUCUAACUACUACACCUCAUAAGUAAUGUAUGAUGGUUACUGGUUUUGGGGUCAAUUUGAUAUGUAUGCACAUGUCCUCCCAUGUGAUUGUCUUUUCAUUUACAUAUAAACGUAUCGUUGUAUA